rnacentral:rRNA from 1 species
GAUGAACGCUGGCGGCGUGCCUAAUACAUGCAAGUCGAGCGAACAGACGAGGAGCUUGCUCCUCUGACGUUAGCGGCGGACGGGUGAGUAACACGUGGAUAACCUACCUAUAAGACUGGGAUAACUUCGGGAAACCGGAGCUAAUACCGGAUAAUAUAUUGAACCGCAUGGUUCAAUAGUGAAAGACGGUUUUGCUGUCACUUAUAGAUGGAUCCGCGCCGCAUUAGCUAGUUGGUAAGGUAACGGCUUACCAAGGCAACGAUGCGUAGCCGACCUGAGAGGGUGAGCGGCCGCACUGGAACUGAGAGACGGGCCAGAGUCCUAGGGGAGGCAGCAGUGGGGAAUCUGCCGCAAUGGGCGAAAGCCUGACGGAGCAACGCCGCGUGAGUGAUGAAGGUCUUCGGAUCGUAAAACUCUGUUAUUAGGGAAGAACAAAUGUGUAAGUAACUAUGCACGUCUUGACGGUACCUAAUCAGAAAGCCACGGCUAACUACGUG